rnacentral:rRNA from 1 species
UACGUAGGUGGCAAGCGUUGUCCGGAUUUAUUGGGUUUAAAGGGUGCGUAGGCGGCCCUGUAAGUCAGUGGUGAAAUACUCCAGCUUAACUGGAGGGGUGCCAUUGAUACUGCAGGGCUUGAGUAAAGUUGAAGUUGGCGGAAUUGACGGUGUAGCGGUGAAAUGCUUAGAUAUCGUCAAGAACACCGAUAGUGAAGACAGCUAACUAAGCUUUAACUGACGCUGAGGCACGAAAGUGUGGGGAUCAAACAGG